rnacentral:rRNA from 1 species
CCUACGGGUGGCAGCAGUGGGGAAUAUUGGGCAAUGGAGGAAACUCUGACCCAGCAACGCCGCGUGAAUGCUGAAGGUUUUCGGAUUGUAAAGUUCUUUUCUCAGGGAAGAAGCAAGUGACGGUACCUUAGGAAUAAGCCACGGCUAACUACGUGCCAGCAGCCGCGGUAAUACGUAGGUGGCGAGCGUUAUCCGGAAUGACUGGGUGUAAAGGGUGCGUAGGUGGUUUGGCAAGUGAGUAGCGAAACGCCAAGGCGCAACCUUUGAACUACUAUUGAAACUGUUUUACUUGAGUGCAGGAGGGGCAACCGGAAUUCCGUGUGUAGCGGUGGAAUGCGUAGAUAUUAGGAGGAACACCAGUGGCGAAGGCGGAUUGCUAGACUGUAACUGACACUGAGGCACGAAAGCGUGGGGAGCAAACAGGAGUAGAUACCCUAGUAGUC